GGGUAUGUAGCGUAAUGGUUAACGCGUUGGUUUUCGGCACCAAAGAUUGCAGGUUCGAGUCCUGUCAUACUCG